CAAUCAUGUAGCGUGCGACAAGCUUGAUAAUAAUUUGGAAAAAUUUGACACCAAUCCUAUUAGUGCCUGCAAAAAAUAUGUUAUCCACUGGCAGCUUAAGAUUCAUAUGAGUUUUUUUAGAUUUAAGGUGAGAAAGAGCAUCAUCAAGAGUUGGGAAAGGUUGUUGGUUAAGAAAUGUAUCUUGGGUUAGUCAUAAUCAUUAGUAAUAACUAUAAAUAAUUAAAUCAAUUUCUCAUUGUUACGGUAAGUAAAAAAUUUAGCAGCAACAACAUCAAAAUUUAUUGGAGUUGCUUCGAUCAAGGUUAAUUAAUUUUAGACGAAUUCCAUCUUGAACAGAAAUUCAUAGAUAGGUUCCCCCUUUACUUGUUUCAAGUUGUCUAUCUCCUUCAUCAAUUGAAAAUAAUGAGAAAGAUCAUAAAUAUUAUACCUUGAGAGAGAUGAUCCUAUACCUUAUUUGUAGUGUCA
rnacentral:lncRNA from 1 species